CCUACGGGAGGCAGCAGUGGGGAAUAUUGCACAAUGGGGGAAACUCUGAUGCAGCGACGCCGCGUGAGUGAAGAAGUAUUUCGGUAUGUAAAGCUCUAUCAGCAGGGAAGAAAAUGACUGUACCUGAUUAAUAAGCCCCGGCUAACUACGUGCCAGCAGCCGCGGUAAUACGUAGGGGGCAAGCGUUAUCCGGAUUUACUGGGUGUAAAGGGAGCGUAGACGGCAGCACAAGUCUGGAGUGAAAUGCCGGGGCUUAACCCCGGAACUGCUUUGGAAACUGUGCAGCUAGAGUGCAGGAGAGGUGAGUGGAAUUCCUAGUGUAGCGGUGAAAUGCGUAGAUAUUAGGAGGAACACCAGUGGCGAAGGCGGCUUACUGGACUGUAACUGACGUUGAGGCUCGAAAGCGUGGGGAGCAAACAGGAUUAGAUACCCUGGUAGUC
rnacentral:rRNA from 1 species